UAAGGAAUAUUGGUCAAUGGACGCAAGUCUGAACCAGCCAUGCCGCGUGGAGGAUGAAGGCCCUCUGGGUUGUAAACUUCUUUUAUAGGGGACGAAACCUUUUUUUCUAAAGAGACUGACGGUACCCUAGGAAUAAGCACCGGCUAACUCCGUGCCAGCAGCCGCGGUAAUACGGAGGGUGCAAGCGUUAUCCGGAUUCACUGGGUUUAAAGGGUGCGUAGGAGGGCAGGUAAGUCAGUGGUGAAAUCUCCAAGCUUAACUUGGAAACUGCCGUUGAUACUAUCUGUCUUGAAUAUUGUGGAGGUGAGCGGAAUAUGUCAUGUAGCGGUGAAAUGCUUAGAUAUGACAUAGAACACCAAUUGCGAAGGCAGCUCGCUACUCAAUUAUUGACUCUGAGGCACGAAAGCGUGGGGAUCAAACAGG
rnacentral:rRNA from 1 species